GUGGAGGUUACCAGUCCAUGCUGCUGGAUGAGGACCGUGGCUGGCUCCUGGUAGGGGGUAGAGACCACAUCUACCUUCUCCACUCGGACAGCCUGGCUCUUCCUACACGCACGAUUUACUGGCCAGCUGUGGAGGAACACGUCGAACACUGCAGAUUGGCAGGGAAGAACCUGUCGACUGACUGUGCCAACUACGUUGCGGCUCCUCCAGCCCUUCAAUAAGACCCAUGUGUAC